CCUACGGGAGGCAGCAGUGAGGAAUAUUGGUCAAUGGGCGGAAGCCUGAACCAGCCAAGUAGCGUGCAGGAUGACGGCCCUACGGGUUGUAAACUGCUUUUAUACAGGAAUAACGCGCCUUACGUGUGGGUCUUUGCAUGUACCGUAUGAAUAAGGACCGGCUAAUUCCGUGCCAGCAGCCGCGGUAAUACGGAAGGUCCGGGCGUUAUCCGGAUUUAUUGGGUUUAAAGGGAGCGUAGGCCGGAUGUCAAACGUGCUGUGAAAUGUCCGGGCUCAACCCGGGCCUUGCAGCGCGAACUGGCGUGCUUGAGUGCGCGGAAAGCAGGCGGAAUUCGUGGUGUAGCGGUGAAAUGCUUAGAUAUGACGAAGAACCCCGAUUGCGAAGGCAGCUUGCUGCAGCGGAACUGACGUUGAUGCUCGAAAGCGAGGGUAUCGAACAGGAUUAGAUACCCUAGUAGUC
rnacentral:rRNA from 1 species